rnacentral:rRNA from 1 species
GGGCUACACACGUGCUACAAUGGCGGUACAAAGAGUUGCGAUACCGCGAGGUGGAGCUAAUCUCAUAAAGCCGGUCUCAGUUCGGAUUGGAGUCUGCAACUCGACUCCAUGAAGUUGGAAUCGCUAGUAAUCGCGGAUCAGCAUGCCGCGGUGAAUACGGUUCCCGGGCCUU